rnacentral:tmRNA from 1 species
GGGGAUGUCAUGGUUUCGACAGGGUUGUCAUCGCGCAUUGGAUGCAGCCGAGUGGUGACGUAAUCACUAAAAAAUAGUAACUGGCAACAGUUUACAAUUCGCAGCAGCUUAACCAUUAAGCUCCGAUAUACUGUGACCCGCUCAGGCGGGACUGCGCGCUACCGUUGGUUUCGCUUCUCACGCAACGGACCAGUGUCAUACCAAGAAGCUAAGCGAUUACACUGAUUCACGUAGUUGACGAAAAAUCUUGAAUCUCGCCUUUGGCUAGUUUGUCGAUAUCUACGCUAGGGGUUAAAUCAAUAUCGUCUAAGCUGUAGACGCUAAUGUGGGAUCUUCUCUGGACCGGAGUUCGACUCUCCGCAUCUCCACCA